GCGGCGGCGGCGGCGGCGGCACCGGCGGCACCGGCGGCACCUUGGGCGGGGAGAAGGGUCGCAGACUCUCGGCGCCCGCCGGCCGCGGGGAGGCGCUCUUGCGCCGGGCCGCGUUGAUGAUGUUCCUCGCCAGGAGCGCUUGCAGCUGGCGGCUGGGGGGACGCACACCUCGAUCUCGGGUCGCAGCGGGGACACGGAGCGCUUCGCUCCACGAGGGGGACAUGGGCGGCGGCGGCGGCAGCGGCGGGGGCUGCUCAUGUUGCUCCCGCGUCCUGGUUCCCACGGCCCCGGGCUCACCCAGCCAUCCAGGCUGCUGGGGGCCGGGACGCGGCGGUCGUCCAGGGCGGGGAGGUAGGCAGGUUCUCCCGGCGGUCCUGGGGAGAGAGCAGAGGGUGGGGGCAGGCGUUAGUGUUUCGGUCCUCUGAAAACAGGGGUUUCUGUUUUUGAGACAAGGUCUCACUAUGUAGUUCGGGCUGGCUUCUCAAUUCUUGGCAUGAUCCUCCUGCCUCAGCUUCCAGAGUGCAGGGAUUACAGGCAUGAGUGCCACCACACCCCGGGUUGAAACUGGGUUUUGGAAGGGACAGACCAAAGUCAGGUAGAGCCUGCAGUAAAAGGCAGGUGACCCAACUCCCAGCCCCAAAUGUUUUAAAGAGUUCACGCUACUAGUGUCAGCUCCUGCGUUGAACAGUGAGGCCGAUAGCUAGAAGUUAAGAAUGCUCGCCUUGGAGACCGACUCUUAACUUUCUGGGUGAGCAGGGCAAGCUGCUUCUUCCCUCCGGACUUCAGUUUUCUCUUCCGCAAAAUGGGUGCUCUUUAGGCUCUGGAGGAAUAGAAAUUAACUCGCGUGAAAGAGCGCGAAAUGUGUUCACAUACUUGGAGGAAAGUGCACAAUAGACGUUAAGAGUUGCUAGAAGGAUACACAUGAAACUAACCAAAGUACUUGCCUUUUUAGGGAAUGGGGCAGAGAGGGACAGGGCACACAGCCACAGGGGAUGGGAUCAAGCUUUUUAAGGUAUUACUUUAUGUUUUGAUUUUUGAACCAUAGGGAUGUAUGAUCUUCCAAACUAUUAUUAUUAAAGUUGGUCAUAGUGAACGCACCUUCGCAGCCCCAAACCCCUUGCUAUGUUGCCAUGGUCCCCUCCUCAUUUUUCCAUGGAUUCCUGAGCAGAGAGGAAGUUCCUACCUUCAUGGAAACACAGAGAGAAGUUGGUUUGUUCCUCCCCAACCCUCCUGCCUGCAUGGAGAGGGAAGCAGAACAUGGAUUGAGAUGGUGACAUCUUUCAGGUUGCGAGUUAUGCUCUGCUAUGUGGUGCCAUACUUGUUUCUUAUCUAAUUAAGGACUUUCCAGUCUCAAGGCUCACUCCCACCCUGUAGCUCUCAUUGAUUCCUCACAACAGACUGGUGAGGAAGCUGGCACUGGCCCACCCUUUUUUUGUGUGGGGGGUACUGGGGGUCAAAACCGGGAUCUUGGGCCAGGGGUUUAGCUCAGUGGUGUCAGUAACAGCCCAGUGUGUUCUGCUGUACGAGGGCAUGUGUGCAUGUGCUGCAUACAAGGGAAUGUGUGACUUUCUGCUGCUCAAAGACUACCAGUUUUAACUGGUUUGAAAGUGCAGGACUUGGGAAUCCAUGCUUAGUAUGCGUCUUCUAAACCUUCCAACUACUUAUUCAGUCAAAUUCCAGCCACUUGGCCUCCCAAUCCAAUACAAGUUCACCAGCAGUCAUUCACCCAUCAGAGUCCUG
ensembl:lncRNA